UGGCGCCCGAACAGGGACCUGGAAACGAGGGACUCCGUGAGGAAGAGGACGCCAAAGGACGGUCGACCGCUAACGAAGACAAAAGAAAGUGAACUCUUCCGAUCACCGCGGGAACCUGCCACGUCAGAAUCGAAGGUAAGUGACGCAUCUGAAAUGGGACAAGAAUUAAGCCAACAUCAGAUCUAUGUAGGACAAUUAAAAGAGGCUUUAAAGAUA
rfam:Chlorocebus sabaeus isolate 1994-021 chromosome 25, whole genome shotgun sequence.